UAGCCGGCCCAACGGCCGGGUAAUACCGCAUACGCUCAUCGGGGGACAUCCCCUGGUGAGGAAACCUCCGGGGGAGAUCGAGGAGCUCGCGACCUAUCAGCUAGUUGGUGAGGUAACGGCUCACCAAGGCGACGACGGGUAGCUGGUCUGAGAGGAUGGCCAGCCACAUUGGGACUGCGACACGGCCCAGACUCCUACGGGAGGCAGCAGUGGGGAAUAUUGCGCAAUGGACGAAAGUCUGACGCAGCGACGCCGCGUGUGGGAUGAAGCUCUUCGGGGUGUAAACCACUGUUGCCAGGGAAGAAACUCUUGAUUCGUCAAGACUGACGGUACCUGGUGAGGAAGCACCGGCUAACUCUGUGCCAGCAGCCGCGGUAAUACAGAGGGUGCGAGCGUUGUCCGGAAUCACUGGGCGUAAAGGGCGCGUAGGUGGCGGGAUAAGUGUGUGGUGAAAGCUCGGGGCUCAACCCCGAGUCUGCCAUGCAGACUGUCUUGCUUGAGCGUAGUAGAGGCAGGUGGAAUUCCGGGUGUAGCGGUGGAAUGCGUAGAGAUCCGGAAGAACAUCGGUGGCGAAGGCGGCCUGCUGGGCUACUGCUGACACUGAGGCGCGACAGCGUGGGGAGCAAACAGGAUUAGAUACCCUGGUAGUCC
rnacentral:rRNA from 1 species